rnacentral:rRNA from 1 species
UAGCUAGUUGGUGAGGUAAAGGCUUACCAAGGCGACGAUCUGUAGCGGGUCUGAGAGGAUGAUCCGCCACACUGGAACUGAGAUACGGUCCAGACUCCUACGGGAGGCAGCAGUGGGGAAUUUUGGACAAUGGGGGCAACCCUGAUCCAGCCAUGCCGCGUGAGUGAAGAAGGCCUUCGGGUUGUAAAGCUCUUUCGGCCGGGAAGAAAUCGCAUGGGUCAAUACCCUGUGUGGAUGACGGUACCGGAAUAAGAAGCACCGGCUAACUACGUGCCAGCAGCCGCGUAAUACGUAGGGUGCGAGCGUUAAUCGGAAUUACUGGGCGUAAAGCGUGCGCAGGCGGUUUUGUAAGACAGGCGUGAAAUCCCCGGGCUUAACCUGGGAACUGCGUUUGUGACUGCAAGGCUAGAGUACGGCAGAGGGGGGUGGAAUUCCACGUGUAGCAGUGAAAUGCGUAGAGAUGUGGAGGAACACCAAUGGCGAAGGCAGCCCCCUGGGUCGAUACUGACGCUCAUGCACGAAAGCGUGGGUAGCAAACAGGAUUAGAUACCCUGGUAGUCCACGCCCUAAACUAUGUCAACUAGGUGUUGGGUGGGUAAAACCAUUUAGUACCGUAGCUAACGCGUGAAGUUGACCGCCUGGGGAGUACGGCCGCAAGGUUAAAACUCAAAGGAAUUGACGGGGACCCGCACAAGCGGUGGAUGAUGUGGAUUAAUUCGAUGCAACGCGAAAAACCUUACCUACCCUUGACAUGCCAGGAACUUGCCAGAGAUGGCUUGGUGCCCGAAAGGGAGCCUGGACACAGGUGCUGCAUGGCUGUCGUCAGCUCGUGUCGUGAGAUGUUGGGUUAAGUCCCGCAACGAGCGCAACCCUUGUCGUUAAUUGCCAUCAUUUGGUUGGGCACUUUAACGAGACUGCCGGUGACAAACCGGAGGAAGGUGGGGAUGACGUCAAGUCCUCAUGGCCCUUAUGGGUAGGGCUUCACACGUCAUACAAUGGUCGGUACAAAGGGUUGCCAAGCCGCGAGGCGGAGCCAAUCCCAGAAAGCCGAUCGUAGUCCGGAUUGCAGGCUGCAACUCGCCUGCAUGAAGUCGGAAUCGCUAGUAAUCGUGGAUCAGCAUGUCACGGUGAAUACGUUCCCGGGUCUUGUACACACCGCCCGUCACACCAUGGGAGCGGGUUCCGCCAUAAGUAGGUAGCCUAACCGCAAGGGGGGCGCUUACCACGGCGGGGUUCGUGACUGGGGUGAAGUCGUAACAAGGUAGCCGUAGGGGAACCUGCGGCUG